UGCUCAUUGCAGCUGUGAACCCUUGCGGGCGCGUGGCGAGCUUCCCGGAAGACUAAGGGGGUUCCUAACCUAACCUUGGCAUAUGAAAUACCUGACUCUCCAAGCCACACCUUCAGUGCUUACACCAGAAGUCACUGAGGUGGCACUGUUACCACACGAUUUUCUGCUUUUCGUGUGCGACUCCGCCCAGACAGAAAGAAGGCUGCUGCCUUUGCGUGCUGCUUGCUGUUUCACUGCUGGCUGCCUUCUGCCCGCCCUGUUUGCCAUGGACGUCUCUCCUCUGCCAUGCCCCUCUCUUGCAGCCUUGCCUUAGAAGCUGCCGAUUAUGAACCUUUACCAACUGUGAGCUGAAAUAAACC